rfam:Glossina fuscipes fuscipes unplaced genomic scaffold Scaffold39, whole genome shotgun sequence.
AGAGUGGCUUAGUCGAAGAUCAUUGCAAAAUGAUUUAUUACAUGCAAAUGGUUCAAAACUAAGCCUAAAGUAAGACUGUAACGACGGUCACUGCAUUAUAUAAUAACAAAAUGGUAUUGCGGUAAUUUUUACGUGCAAUUAUAGUU